AGGUGAUUUCGAUGUCUAUACAAAUAAUUAACAACUACUUACUCAUUAAAUAUUUUAAUACAAAUUAAUCCAGCAGGUUAUUAUGCUUGAAAAGAAACCAAGCCCAUCUUAUAAACGUUGGCUUGGCACGACUGCAAAGACCAUCUUCGUCGCUGAGGUUGUGGGCUUUGCGUUUUCCUAUGGAAUUUGGUACAAAUUAAACACUGAACGGGAUUUCAGAUUGUACAUGCACAAAAACUUAAAUUGGGUGUUGGAAGGUUAUUACCGGUUAGGUGAGGUGAUCGCUGACCACAAAACUCGCGAACUCGACAAAAAAAUUUGGACUCAGGAAGGAAAAAUAUAAUAUCCUGGUGAGAUGAGCAUUAUCGCUAGGUCCUUGUUCUGGGUGGUAUCUAUCGGAACAGUUAGCUAUGGCCUACUUACAUUCGUCAAACCUGACGAUGAUCUGCUCAAAAAGUUUGAGGAAGAAUCGAAAUUCACUGAUGCCAGUAGAGUAACAAAAGAUACAAUUGCAAUACUUAAGGAAGCAACCAAUCCAAAUUCUGAGGUAAACAAAAAAGUAGAGGAGCUUUUGAAGAGGGCAAA